rnacentral:lncRNA from 1 species
GCCUCAAUUCGAUGAACGGUGAGUUUCAUAGCUAAUCACUUUGACAGAAAUGUGCUAACACAACGGAAUCGCAAACGAAAGGAAAUCACAGCGGAACUUACUCAAUAUCAACCUUACAGGCAACAAGACUUUCCAAUUCACAUAAAAUCGAUUGAAGAAAAUAAGAAAAAUAAAAGAAGGAAGAACAAAAAAAACAAGAAUUAAGAUUUUCGAAAAAUAAAAGAACGAUAACAUUUUCUUAGAAUGUUUUAAAAUAACCACC